UACAGAGGUCUCAAGCGUUGUUCGGAUUCAUUGGGCGUAAAGGGUGCGUAGGCGGCGCGGUAAGUCGGGUGUGAAAUCUCGGAGCUUAACUCCGAAACUGCAUUUGAUACUGCGAUGCUUGAGUACUGGAGAGGAGAUUGGAAUUUACGGUGUAGCAGUGAAAUGCGUAGAUAUCGUAAGGAAGACCAGUGGCGAAGGCGAAUCUCUGGACAGUUACUGACACUGAGGCACGAAGGCCAGGGGAGCAAACGGG
rnacentral:rRNA from 1 species